GAAUGAAAAGCAUACAAUCUUGUCGAGAUGGAGACAGAGAGGGUCAGAGGCAAAAUCGGAGGACAAGAACCUUAUCAAUGGUGUCUCUGGUGAUGGAAUCAACCUCUAAUUUGUUAGACAACAUUGUUAACAGCCAAGUCUGGUGGGGUAUUCUGCACAAGGAAGAAAAUUUUCGUUCUAGCCAACUCGGUGUGGGGUCUUCUGCAUUUGACAAGGUCUUCCUUCGGAAGAUGAACCUGUUACUGGCAUGUCUGAAACAUGAGAGUUGAGAGCUUUGGUACCACAACUGCUUGGGAGGACCCCGAGUGCAUCUGAUUUGAAGGGUGGUACUCUAAAGACUUCAUGGUUGGACAAAAUUUUUGUAAAUGUUGAGGAAUGGAUGGAGGAUGAAGAGAAUCUUCUCCGAUUCACGCAAGCAUACAUAUUACGCCUUAUUGGAGGCUUUUUACUUGCGGGUC